UACAGAGGGGGCAAGCGUUGUUCGGAAUUACUGGGCGUAAAGGGCGCGUAGGCGGUUCGUUAAGUCCUGUGUGAAAUCCCCCGGCUCAACUGGGGAACUGCACAGGAAACUAGCGGGCUUGAGUUCGGGAGAGGGAAGCGGAAUUCCGGGUGUAGCGGUGAAAUGCGUAGAUAUCCGGAGGAACACCGGUGGCGAAGGCGGCUUCCUGGACCGACACUGACGCUGAGGCGCGAAAGCUAGGGGAGCAAACGGG
rnacentral:rRNA from 1 species